AUUUUAUUUAUUUUAUUUAAUUUAUUCUCUGGGAAGAUUAAUUGGUUUUUCAAUUAUUCAAACCACUUCCUUUUCAAGGAUCUUUUCAUUAACACUUUUAUAGUCGAUAUAUUGUUCUUUUAGUUUUGUUUAUUUAUUCAUUGGAUCAUUCAAAUCUCUCAAUGUUUCCCUGAAGUCUUCAUUUCCUACUGCACAAUAGUAUUCCACUACAUUUAUACACCACAAUUUGAUUAGCUGUUCUUCAGUCAAUGGGUGAGGCAGCCAGGUGGCUCCGUGGAGAGAGUACUGGACUUGCUAUCAGGAAGACAUGAGUUCAAAUUCAGCCUCAAACAUAUACUAGCUUGUGACCCUAGGCUAGUCACUUAACCUUUUUUUUUUUUUGCUUUAAUCUAGUGGAGAACACUACUAUUUUUGCCACUCCAAUAUUUUUACCAUAAAAACCCUAUGGAUAGUAUUGGCACCCUAUGGUCCAUGAAGCCACAGAGAGCUGGACAUGCCUGAAUAACAAGAAAAUCAAUAGGUACCCACUCCUCCCCCCCCCCCUUUCCCCCUAAUUCUUUGCUGCCACAACAGUGCUAUGUCAUGGAAUCAUAGAUUUAGAACUGGAAGGGAAAUUAAGAGGUCAGUAAGCCCAACUCUAAUUUUACAGAGGAAACACAGAGAUAAAUGUUCAGUGACUUGCUCAUGGUCACACAGCUAGAUGUUUUAAGAUGAGUGUUAUGCCUAGGUUUUCCACUGCAAGCCCUGUCUCCUCCAUUACACCGCACACUGUUUCUGUUCUGGUCUUUGACCUCAUUAAGGAAGAUGCUCAGUAAUGAGGUGAGCGGAUUACACAUAUGCUUUCAUAAACGGCACAUAAGCACCGCCGUGUGCUAGACACACCCCGUUCAUGGUGACCAGCCUGCCGACACUUGUACUUUCUGUUUGUGUAUAUAUAUACAAACCUACGUGCCCAAAGCUAAGGUUAAAAGCCCAUGUACCUGGCGUGCCACAAAUUCCAAAGGAGAAGAAAAGGGAGUGGAGCAGGGAGAAAGAGCGGGAAAGGGGGAAGGAGAGAAAAGGGAGAGAGAGGAAGUAGAGGAGAGACAGAGACAGAGACAGAGAGGGAGGGAGAGAGACAGAGAGACGGAGACCGACCGGGAGAGACCGAGAGAGUCAGAGAGAGAGAGCCUUCUCCAGGGAAAUGCGCAUAACAUAACCCACUUAAAGUUAAAAGGGAAUUCCGUCUUCAGGACUGUGGCCAGCCGAAGAACAAAGAGUCGCGUUACUGGCCUGACUAAAGAGUUUGAAAGUCUUUUGGAGGAAUUUUAGAAGAAGAAACUCAUCAGCACCUCAAAUCAAAAAGGCAAAUUUUUUGAAGUGUGUGCCUGUGGAAACCACAUGCUGUAUCAAGAGAUCCAGAAUGAACUGAGCUGAAAGGAGUUGAACACAUUUAUUCAUUUAAUUAAUAAAUGAAAAUUCUUAUGCCAAGA